rnacentral:rRNA from 1 species
CCUACGGGCGGCUGCAGUGGGGAAUAUUGCACAAUGGGCGCAAGCCUGAUGCAGCCAUGCCGCGUGUGUGAAGAAGGCCUUCGGGUUGUAAAGCACUUUCAGCGGGGAGGAAGGCGUUAAGGUUAAUAACCUUGUCGAUUGACGUUACCCGCAGAAGAAGCACCGGCUAACUCCGUGCCAGCAGCCGCGGUAAUACGGAGGGUGCAAGCGUUAAUCGGAAUUACUGGGCGUAAAGCGCACGCAGGCGGUCUGUCAAGUCGGAUGUGAAAUCCCCGGGCUCAGCCUGGGAACUGCAUUCGAAACUGGCAGGCUAGAGUCGUGUAGAGGGGGGUAGAAUUCCAGGUGUAGCGGUGAAAUGCGCAGAGAUCUGGAGGAAUACCGGUGGCGAAGGCGGCCCCCUGGACAAAGACUGACGCUCAGGUGCGAAAGCGUGGGGAGCAAACAGGAUUAGAUACCCGGGUAGUC